GCCCGGCGGCGGCGGCGCCUCCGCUUGAGGGGCGGCAGCGGGAGCGGCGGGGCUGGGCCGGGCCGGGCCGGCUCCGUGGUCUGUCGGGGUCUGUCUGCCCCGGGCCGCGGCGGUACCGGGCGCUGGGCCGGCGCUCCCGCCGCAGGGCUGCGCUCUCGGGCCGGCGGCGAGGCUCGGCCCGCGCGGUUCCUCUGCCGGCGGUCGUGGCGGGUGCUGUUGGAUCCACUCCAAGGAAUCUGCACUUACAGCUUGGCGAACAAAAGGAAGCAAUUCUCUUCAGAUGGAUGGGUUGUGAACAAACACGGGCUUUAGGUACACCCCAGGCCAACACGUGCACGCCGCCUUAUCAGGCCUUUGUGUAACAAUUUGCAGUUGUCUUACAAGCAUGUGAGUUUUACAACAAAACAAGUGCUGGUGCCCUCCUGCCUCUGGCCCUUGGAUGUCACCCUUGGGGAUGUUGUACCAGCUGCGCUGGGAAGAAAACCUGAAACACCGAUCGAGUGCUGGAAUGAAUGUCACCUAUUCAUUCACUGACCUGAAGAGGAAACACAUCACUCUUGGCCGUACCAACUGAGCACCAGCAUAAAGUGGUGACCGAAGCACGACUGCAUCAUCACCCAGUCAACCGCCCCUGGAAGGUUAAUGUCCGUGGCAAGAAAAACAAUGUCUUCUCCCUGAAGGGUGGUAAUGCUUUUGUGGGCGUGCAUAAGGUGGGACAUCACGGCUUCCAAGGAUCCCUGCCACUUACAGGAGGCACCGGGGCACGGGCAGGAGUAGGGACGGUACUCACAGAUGUCUUCGUGUUCUGGCUUUUCUGUGUGAUGGAGUGUCAGAGAGCAGCCUGUUGUUGCAUACUGGAAAAAGACCAAAUACAAGCCGUCAGGAAACGCACCAGCACUGGUGUUCCCUGCUCCCACCUCUCAACUGGCAACACUGGUGAUCAACCAGCACUCUUGUUCUCGUUGCAGAUUUUACGUUAGAUACUUCUGUUUAGCCCUGGAUUCAGAGCUGAGCUCUACUUACUUAUGUUUCCACUUAAACAUGGAUUCUUCUUGUCUUUUUUGGUUGUUUUUUUCCUAACGCAAGCACUUAGAUAAAAUGGAUUGUCAGGCUGAGUUGUAGUUAGAUUUGCUGUUGUAGUUAGACCUGGUUGGUCCAGAUCAGCUGAAGUGGUCCUGGUUUGGAUUUUUCUUUUCUUUAAAAAGAACAAAGGAUUCUAGUUUCAGCAAACAGCUACUAGAGUGAAGUAUUUUUAAUAGAUGUACCUUAUUGCCAUCACAGAGCAAAAGCACUUGAUUUAAUUCAAAUGCAGAUUCCCCACAGCUUUUUUUUAACCACUGGAACAGUUUCAACACUGCAGUUUUGAGAAGUGGAAAAAGAGAAGACAAUUUUUCACUGAGCAUAAAGCCAACACACAGAUAAGUACCAUCUAACUUCUCUUAAUGUCACUGGGCAACUUAGAGGGUUAAUUUGCUUUAAACAACUGGGGAUGCUUUUCCUUUUUCUCCAGUCAGUUCAGUUGUCCCUACUGACCAUAUUGCUUUCACGCUACCUCUGCAGAGAAAACAAGUCUCUCCUAUUCUCACCAAGAGCACAGCUCCCUUGGUCUGUAGAUAUCUGUCGCGAUACCAACACCACGGCUAACACUAUCACGCAGGUUACAACACGCGUGCUUGGCUGCUUAUGGAUGCUAUGACACUGCCUUGAGGACAGAUAUAACCAAGGUAUAAAUGAUUAUUUCUGGGCUAAUAUGUGUGCAAGAAGUUUCAGCUCAAAGGGUUACAUGCCCAGGAUGCAAAUCACCCAUGCUGUGAACACGACAGUAGGAAUACUGGGACAGAAACUCGACCUUGUGCUUCUGGAGGAGCUUGUUUUACAAGCCAUAAAGAGUUAACGUGAGCCUUCACUUAACUGUGUCUGCCCCUGCUGCUUAAUCCUCUGCUAACAGCUUUAUCGCAGGGCGCUGCAGUGGAACAAGGCUUCCUCCUGCCAAAGGCAGAAGCCCCAUCGCGGCGAAUGCGUGGCCAGCCAUGCCAGCUGCCCUGCUGCACAGCGCAGCGACCCAGGUUAUAUGAUACCUUUGAGCUAUUUGGCCUCUGCACCUCUUCCACUUCUUCCGUGUCUGCCUCGAGACGGCGAGCCAGGGCUGCGCACAGUGCUAACAGAGUAGGCGUGAUGCUAACGCCUGGGCUCGCAUCACCAUUUUUCUGCUUUUUCAUUGCCCUUCUCAUCGUUUCUGUUAUUCCGUGUUAGAAAGUAUUACGUACUUGUUUUCACAGUCGUUUGUUUAGCACCGCAUUUGCUUUCCUGAGAGGAAAUGAUCCGCUCAGAGCUCGUGACCACAUACAAGACUUAUCCCAUGUUUUGGCCACAUGUGUCACUACAUGUGCUGCUCUGAACUUCACUUUGCCAGGAGAGCUUUCUGAGCGUCCUAAAGCAUUCGGAAAACAUCAGUUAAGCUUGAAAGUGCUAAGCAGAGGCAGGCCAGUAUUAUCAACCCUGUAAACGAAGGCAGGGACACAGGAUUAAAGUAAUUUGUCUGAAGCCACCUGGGAAAUCAGUGGCAGAGCUGGGAAUAGACUGCCAAGUCCAAAUCCCUCCUGCUCUAGCGCGCAGCCUCUCCCUCUAGUAUACCAGUAGCUUGAGAUGGGAACAGUGCUGCUGGGAAAAGGCCUGCCUGCUCCUGUAUGUGUGUCAGCAGAGUGCAGGGACCCAACGAGGACCAAAACCCUCUCGUGCUUCUUCCUUCUCCAGCGCUUUGUAAAACAUCUGUCCCUGCUUUUAAGAUCCCUCCAGCCUUCCAAAGCGUUCAUUCCAGCUUGGGUACAGACGCUCAGCCCAGCCUAGCAGUGAUCCUAGGGAGCUCUCCCGGGGAUGCACAGCGAGGUCCAGCCCAGAAAACAGCAAGCCUCUCUGCUUUCCGGAACCUCACACCAGCGAGGAAACCGGCUCAGGCCACAGCCAGCUGCCUGGCAAAAUGCACCAUGAACUCUGCCAGCAGCGCCGGGCCGGCUGUUACGGCUUGUCUGGGAAAGGACCAGUGAACGUUGCAUCGCUGCGUAUAGAGCAUGCAAGCUCUACGUCUUGGAAAUAGGAAGUGUGACCUUAUUUAGGUUUAGUAUAUUUGCUUAAAAUCUUUAAAAUUACUUUUUAAUUAUUUUAAAGCAAAGCUCUAAGGAGGCUGUAGAGGCAGCGUCGGACAAUAUACAGGAGUAAGUUUGUAUACAAUAACAACAUGAAUGUGCAAUUUCUGUUUGCAAGUUGUUUGCUUACAUGGGAAACCUGUCAUGCCUUCCCUUGAACUGGCGGUGUAGCAGCAGUGGUGUAAGGACACAGAGCGGUUCUGCCUAUGAUUAGUCUGCUAUUAUUUGACUUGUUACUUUAUAUAGUCUCACUAUGCCUUCCCCUUUUUAAAUACACACUGUUGGUUGCAAGGUGCAGAAAGACUUUUCUGCAAAGUGCAAGAAUACAGUACAAUGAAUUUAGUGGAUUCACUUUUCUUCAAAAGGACCAGAACCAUCUGGAGACUGAGAAACGUGGCAGUAUCUCCAGUAAGAGAUGGCUGGUUUAGAGCAUCGUGGAAGACUCUCUUCAUGCAAGGUAUCUGUCCUAGCUUCCAAGAUGCAGAGCAUCGCUACUCCUAGGAAAGCUGGUAAUGGGGUUUCAAUCCCCUGAAAAAUCGAGCCUCAUGUACUUAGAUUUUUUAAAUGCAUGUAAUAACUAGAAAAGUAAUUUCCUUUAUUAUAAGUAAAACUUACUGUUAGGUUAAAUUAAUCACAAGCAC